GGAUUAGAUACCCUGGUAGUCCACGCUGUAAACAAUGAGCACUAGAUGUUGCGGGUGUUGACCCCUGCAGUGUCGCAGCUAACGCAUUAAGUGCUCCGCCUGGGGAGUACGGUCGCAAGACUAAAACUCAAAGGAAUUGACGGGGGCCCGCACAAGCGGUGGAUCAUGUGGUUUAAUUCGAAGCAACGCGCAGAACCUUACCUGGGUUUGACAUCCUUGGAACCUUCUAGAGAUAGUUGGGUGCCCUUCGGGGAGCCAAGUGACAGGUGCUGCAUGGCUGUCGUCAGCUCGUGUUG
rnacentral:rRNA from 1 species